AAGUCGUAACAAGGUUUCCGUAGGUGAACCUGCGGAAGGAUCAUUAGAGGGGCGCAUUACGCGCAGUCUAUUGUCUCGAAAGGGAUGGUAGACGACCAUAAGAGGAAGGUACGAUUGAGGAUUAACAAAACCAUGAACAACGGAUCUCUAGGCUCCUGCAUCGAUGAAGAACGCAGCGAAACGCGAUAGAUAAUGUGAAUUGCAGAAUUACGUGAAUCAUCGAGUCUUUGAACGCACAUUGCGCCCUUUGGUAUUCCGAGGGGCAUGCCUGUCUGAGCGUCAGUGAACUUCACAUGGGUUGUCUGUGUUUGCUAGCAUCUGCUUGCAAAUUUCAAACAAAUCCUGUGAUUGAGUGUGACUUGUCUCACUUGAAAUGCAUCACGAUUGGUGUCAUAGGUUCGCCUCACCAAGAAUUUAACGUCUUGACCUCAGAUCAGGUAGGGUUACCCGCUGAACUUAAGCAUAUCAAUAAGCGGAGGAAAAGAAACCAACCGGGAUGCCCUCAGUAACGGCGAGUGAAGCGGGCACAGUCCAAAUUUGAAAUCUGGCGCGGGUCAUCUGCGUCCGAAUUGUAAUUUCAAGAGGCGACUCUGGUUACGUCCCUGGUUCAAGUCUGUUGGAAAGCAGCGCACGAUAGGGUGAGAGCCCCGUUUGCAACCAGAGGACANGACCGUACAGAGCGUCUUCCAAGAGUCGAGUUGUUUGGGAAUGCAGCUCUAAAUGGGUGAUAAAUUCCAUCUAAGACUAAAUACCGGCAGGAGACCGAUAGCGCACAAGUAGAGUGAUCGAAAGGUGAAAAGGACUUUGGAAAGAGAGUCAAACAGUACGUGAAAUUGUUCAUGGGGAAGCGUCCGAGAUUAGUGUCGUAGCUGGGAGAACAUCCACCCCUCGGGGUGGUGCACUCUCACAGUUUCGGGUCGGCAUCAAUUGCUGCGGUUUGAAAAGGGUUGUGCGAAGGUGGCUCCUCGGAGUGUUAUAGCGUGCAACCAGAUAGAGCCAGCGGCAAUUGAGGAAUGCGUUCUUACGAGGAUGCCGACGAAAUGAUCUUGGGUGACC
rnacentral:rRNA from 1 species